rnacentral:lncRNA from 1 species
AAAAACUAUUACUUAAUAUUUUAAAUUUGUAAAUUAAAAAUUCUAACACCCAUCCUUUACAUUGAAUCGAUCGUUAUUUCCCCAAAAGAAACCCUAAUAGCUCGUCAGCCGCCGCCGUCGCUAACAUCUGGUCAGCCGAUACCAUUCGUCGUCUCCGACCAACACUCAGUCGCGCUAUCGGUUCUCCUGCUGCAAAGUUUUUGCUUUUUCUAUUUUUCUUUAUUUAUUUAUUUAUUUCAAAUUGCAUCUGGUUUCAUUGAUUUGAGUCAAUUUUACAUUUUGUGUGUUUUCAUUCAUCUUCUUCUGAUUUCAUUCUCAGUCACAUAGCCUGAAGUACAAACUGCAGCCAUGGAGAGCUCACUGAAACAGAGGUUGCAGCCAGGAUUUGAGUUACCGACAGGCAUGCUUUGGGUAAGUUAUGUUUUGAUUCUCUUGAUUCCCCUCCUCCUGUCAGGAUCCCUCUCUCUAUCCCUUCUGCCGUACACUUUACGACGCUGUUGCUGCCUCCUUCCUAAGUUGUAUGAGAAUGAUAAGCUUUGUUGUGAUGCCCAUUUGAUGGGCUUUAUUAUCAUGUACACUUCACAUUAUAAGCUUUUUUUUAAAAUCAGUUUAAGAAACACGAUGGGUUUGAUGAAUGCAGCUGAGAUUUAGCCGCCAUUUAUAAAAUACCGGCAGAGCUCUAGAGAGAGAAGAGAAUAAAGAUAGAUUGAGUUUUUUUGUUUCAGGAGGUUUUCUUUGAAUAAUAAAUAAUGGAUUUUUAUUGCUGGUGAGAACACUUAGUCAAGUCUUUAUUAAUGAAAAGUUUAUGUUGAAGACGUAAAAUUAUUUUGAUUUGUGAUAUAAAAUUUGAUCAUUUAUAAUUAUGUUAAAGACUUAGAAUUAUUUUGUUUUUAUUUUUG